GACGAACGCUGGCGGCGUGCUUAAUACAUGCAAGUCGAACGGAGCCUAGCCGAUAGGUUUCACUUAUUGGCGAAAGCUUAGUGGCGGACGGGUGAGUAACGCGUGGGCAAUCUGCCCCUAAGUCCGGGAUAACAGAGCGAAAGUUCUGCUAAGACCGGAUACACUUCCCUGGUCGCAUGGCCUAGGAAGGAAAGGUUAACGCUUAGGGAUGAGCCCGCGUCCCAUUAGCUAGUUGGUGAGGUAACGGCCCACCAAGGCGACGAUGGGUAGCCGGCCUGAGAGGGUGGGCGGCCACACUGGGACUGAAACACGGGCCAGACACCUACGGGUGGCAGCAGUAGGGAAUAUUGCACAAUGGGCGCAAGCCUGAUGCAGCAACGCCGCGUGCGCGACGAAGGCCUUCGGUCGUAAAGCGCUUUCGGGUAGGAUGAGUACGGACAGUAUCCCGGAACGAAGGAUCGGCUACUACGUG
rnacentral:rRNA from 1 species